rnacentral:rRNA from 1 species
UACGGAGGGUGCUAGCGUUGUUCGGAAUUACUGGGCGUAAAGCGCGCGUAGGCGGCUUUGUAAGUUAGAGGUGAAAGCCCGGGGCUCAACCCCGGAACUGCCUUUAAAACUGCAUCGCUUGAAUCCGGGAGAGGUGAGUGGAAUUCCGAGUGUAGAGGUGAAAUUCGUAGAUAUUCGCAAGAACACCAGUGGCGAAGGCGGCUCACUGGCCCGGUACUGACGCUGAGGUGCGAAAGCGUGGGGAGCAAACAGG